rnacentral:rRNA from 1 species
GGCUCAGGAUGAACGCUAGCGGCAGGCUUAACACAUGCAAGUCGAGGGGUAUAGUUCUUCGGAACUAGAGACCGGCGCACGGGUGCGUAACGCGUAUGCAAUCUACCUUUUACAGAGGGAUAGCCCAGAGAAAUUUGGAUUAAUACCUCAUAGUAUGUGAGAAUCGCAUGGUUUUCACAUUAAAGUUCCAACGGUAAAAGAUGAGCAUGCGUCCCAUUAGCUAGAUGGUAAGGUAACGGCUUACCAUGGCGACGAUGGGUAGGGGUCCUGAGAGGGAGAUCCCCCACACUGGUACUGAGACACGGACCAGACUCCUACGGGAGGCAGCAGUGAGGAAUAUUGGUCAAUGGACGCAAGUCUGAACCAGCCAUGCCGCGUGCAGGAUGACGGUCCUAUGGAUUGUAAACUGCUUUUGUACGAGAAGAAACACUCCUACGUGUAGGAGCUUGACGGUAUCGUAAGAAUAAGGAUCGGCUAACUCCGUG